rnacentral:rRNA from 1 species
GGGCCCGCACAAGCGGUGGAGCAUGUGGUUUAAUUCGAAGCAACGCGAAGAACCUUACCAGGUCUUGACAUCCCUGGACAGCUGUGGAAACACAGUUUCCCUUCGGGGCCAGGAGACAGGUGGUGCAUGGUUGUCGUCAGCUCGUGUCGUGAGAUGUUGGGUUAAGUCCCGCAACGAGCGCAACCCUUGCCUUUAGUUGCCAUCAUUAAGUUGGGGACUCUAAAGGGACUGCCGGUGACAAAUCGGAGGAAGGUGGGGAUGACGUCAAAUCAUCAUGCCCCUUAUGAUCUGGGCUACACACGUGCUACAAUGGGUGGUACAGAGGGAAGCGAAGCCGUGAGGCGGAGCGAAUCCCAGAAAGCCACUCUCAGUUCGGAUUGCAGGCUGCAACUCGCCUGCAUGAAGUCGGAAUCGCUAGUAAUCGCAGGUCAGCAUACUGCGGUGAAUACGUUCCCGGGCCUU